rnacentral:lncRNA from 1 species
UAUAAAUAUUAUAAUAAUUCUGAUUUUAGUCCUACGUCCUUCCUCUGCUUGUUUCUAAGAUUGGUACCUCUCCAGGCUCUGCUGGCAAGAAUGUCUUCUACAUUGCUAUAGCCUUCUCAUGUAUGCAUAUGUGUGUGUUCUGGACUGCAGUUUUCUCUGCACUGGCUUAAUCCUCAGCAUAAUCCUACCUGUUUUCUCUUCCAGAAUGAAUGAGUGCAUUUCAGUGGGAUUUUGUUAGGAAGCGGAGGAAAAUGUAUGUGCUUAGUUUGCCUUGCAUAGACGAAAAGAUGCUCAUCUGCUUCUUCUGGCACAAGGUUCCUAAUAGAAUUUGCAAGUUCAAAAAGAUAUUCUGUAUUUCUUCCACUUGGACCAGCUGCAUUAAAAAUUUGUUCAGCAAUGUCUUCCAGAGGUGCAGGACCAAGAUAAUCAGGAUUAUCACAUGUUCCAAUAUAUAGCAAUACACUGAAUGGUUUUGUUGUGGGAUCUUUUGGAUAAAAAAUGACUGUUGUGGUUCUGUAGCCUCCUUUCUCUCUGAAGUCAAGGUAUGCUUUUACUUCUUCUUCCUUUCCUACUGGCAAUCUGUAAGCAACACCCCAUACACAUCCCUGUUGAAAAAUGAAAAGAAUACACUGGUAUUUAUAAGGCUAAUUAAAAUAGGUGAAGAAAGGUUGUGAUCUAAGAGAGUAUCUCAUAUAUUCUUUUCUG